UUUUCCUGGAUUAAUAGUCUUCAAAAUAAUCCAGGUGAAAAAGAACUCUGUGCUAUUUUACUGAACUUUGUAGUCAGGAUAUAAAGUAGGAUUUAAUUAUUUCACCCAGGAGCUGGAGCUGGUGACCAACAAAUGUCUGAUCUUGGCUCUGAAUAAGUGAGCAAAACUGUGCUCCAGGGAGAUGCAUGGCUUGAAUUGUGGAAGUAGAGAUCACACUUGAGCUUUGGGGAUAAACUGGCAAGACUCACAGGUCCUAGAUACAAAGCCACUGGGUGAGAGGAGUGCAAAAGCAAGUCAGUGUCGUAUGUCAGCCUCCCUGGAGGAGUUUCUAAGUGAUGCAGUAAGCACUGAACUCAGUCUGGAUACUUUAAAUGAAAAAAAUGUGUCAGAACAAGAGCAGAAAAUAAUCCUCAAUAAGGUUCAGAAACUGAUGUGAAAAUGAAAUUGACAUAUGGAAAGUGGUUGGAGGCCCUAACUGAGCUGUGUGUAGCCUGUUUAAGCAUCUUUCAAGUUUACAGAAGAUUUCUGAUAGCUCCACUGUUUGACCAGGCUGUAAUCUUUUGGUGGUCCUUCCUUUCAAGUGUGGAUUCCUCUUUACCACCCAGAAAUGGCUCUGCUUUGAAUUCUGAGCUGUCAGACACAAAAAAAAAAAAAAAGAAAAAAAAAAGAAAAAAAAAAAGGAAAGAACAGAAAUGGAAGAGACAUGAAACUCCACACAGAAGAACUGACUGGAAUCAGCAGUUGUUUUUACUGCAUGAAAAAAGGUGUCAAAUGAAGAGAAGCAAAGUGUGGGAAUGGGCACAUCCUUCAGAAGUGCUUGAGGUAUGCCAGGCACAGUAAUUUCUGAUACCUCUGUACAUGCCUUGAUUUCUGUCAUGUUGUCCUGAAAUUGAUCUGGGAUGCUUCUCAUAGGACUUAACCUGCCAAGAAUCCCUGACUAAGUUUAAUAUGCUCUAUGCCACUUGUCAGCAGACAGGUGUGAAGAGUUUAGUGUUGUAAUUAAUACUGCAAGGAGAGAAGAAAACUGUAAUUCUGCAGAUAUGUGGAAAACUAGAAACAUUUCACAGUCAGUGGAUCCUGAGCUAAAAGUUAACACCAGUCAUUUCAGAGAUGGAGGUGCAAGAAACACAUCAGAGGCAGGUGCUAAGAGGACAAGCUUUGCUGUAGAAUGAUUGGAGGCUCCCCUCUGAAAAGCUCCUCCUGCGUCAUAAGAAAUGUGUGAAAUGUAUGGAAGGUCAGUGUUUGAAGACACAUACAGAGAGCACCAUAAUUAUCUGAAGGUGGUUCAAGGAUGUUUUACCUGCUCCUAAGAAUUGCCCAAUGGCUCUGACCUCCCACUGGGAAAUCUGGCUACAAACCAAAGAGGAGAGGGAUGCCACUGUGCUGGCACACAGUACCUUUGCAUGAGGGCACUCUCCUGAAGUGACAACAGAGGCUGUUUUGUAGAGACUUUAAGAUGGCUCUUGAAGAAUUAAACAUGCUCAUAAGAAAGUGCUGCUUGUAGCUGGAACUUCGAUGUGGACCAUCUUUGAUCUGAAUAAAAUCACACUUAGGAACUGUUAGUCUCAGUAUGACUGGAAUGUGGAUUUAUCGUUUAUAUUUAUCCUAAGAAGAGGCAUGACAGAAGGAAGACGUGUUUGGAUUCAGAAAUAGAGCCCUCUAAUGAGAUGGAAAGGUGUGCUCUACUUUUUAAGCCUGUUUGCUUGAGCACUGAAUAUUUAUCUCGAGGAAAUCAUUGACUAAUUGGGAAAACUUCCAAAAUAUCUUGCAAGGUCUCAGAUGUUUGACAUGUUCAAAAUACUUCUAGCAGAAAUGGAUUAUUAGGUAGAAUGCAAAGUCAGAAGUGUCUGACAUUACUGAGUGAAGAUCUCAAAGCAGGUUCCAUGCAUGUACCUUUUCCCCGUGCUAUAUGGAAAUGCUGUCACAAAAAUCAGGUGAUCUUUUCUAAAAAUGGACAAGUCUUCUCACUGACACUGGCUGGAAUACUGAGUCUCUUCCAUAACAGUGAGCCUGAUCUCCUGGUUUUGGCUUUGGUUCUUCAGUGUCCCGAGGCUUUGCAUGGUUUUCAGCUGAGUGCUGCAGCAGCUCUCAGCAGAAGUGUGACCCCAUGUGAAACUGCCUUGGAUUGACUGCACUGUGUGAUGCACUGGGAGCAGAGCAAAGCAUCAAGGUCCUUUUAUUGAAGGAAUUCUGGUUUCCAAUAAGAUCAAACUACACCUUUAUUCUGACCUCAGUACAGUUUUUCCCAGGUGGCAAGAUGCUGAGCAAACGGCUGCUGCCUUGAAGAGGAUGCUUUUCAACUCUUUGGUGCCUGCCACUUCUCUCUCUUGUAUUUGAAAACUUGUAGGAUGGGUCCUGAUACACUGUGUAAAAGGGGGUUUAGGAGGCAGCUGAGUUCUCCAAAGAGCUGUAGCAGAUCCUGAAACAGCCAGGAUUUCCAGUCCACUGAACCACAGAACAUAGGAGGGCUCCACUCUGAACGUGUGGCAUGAAGAGGUGGAUUAUCAAUCUGUUAUUAAUAUACCUGCUACAGUUUGGAGUCCAGAAUUUUCAGAAUCUCAGUCAAAAUUGAUUCUUGAAUUGAUGUGGGAACCACUCCGAGUCAUGCCAGAAUAGGAUGAGGAUGAAAACAUGGAAAACUUUCCUUGUGGAAACAUGAUGUUAGACCAAAGACAAGGUUACCUGAGGGAAGAAGGGGUUUACUGACAUGCAUGAAGUCCAUGAAAGAGCUAUUCACAGCAGAGGAAGGUCUGUAAUGCCUCUACAAAGUAAAGUCCUGUAGCUUUGGCUGUUACUUGAUCCUGAGAAAUGUACAGAAUCCAUCGUCUUCCUGUUUUUAAUUAAAUUUUUUCAUAAUGCAAGUGGGAUCUUAUCCAAACACUGGAGAUCUGAAAUCUUGAGUACAAGCUUCCACUUCUUGUCCUGGACUAGAUUAAAGCUUUUCUGAGGGACAAUUCCCUUCCCUGAAAAAGAAAUCUCUGAACAUCAACCUCACUGUUUUUCCAGGGAAAACAAAACACGCUUUCUUUGAGUUUUGCAAUUGUCAUAAAAGCACGUGACAGUAGUGUCCCAAAAUGAACAUGUGAUUGGUUUAACAGCAUGUCCUGCAACACAAUCUGGCCUGCAACAGCAGAAACUGAAACUGGAGAAGGGCAUUUCAUUUCCGGCAGACAAAAGUGGUGAUUUCCAAAACUUCCUGAGUUCCUGUGCCUUGAUGCUGUAACAUUUUGUUGAUUUGACUGUUAUGAUUUGCAGUAGUAAAAUAGGGCAGACAUUCUGUUUCCCAAAUACUUACACUUUUUACUUCUGUGGCUGAAUUUGUACUCAGGGGAAUGCCUACAGAGCUUUGUUUAAGCUUCUGCUUGGGAAGAGAAUUACAGGGAGUGAGCAGCCAACUUGUUUCCUCUUCAAGAUAUGCUGAAACAAAAGAAGUACCUGUUGGACUGCCCCUCUUCUUUUUCCUGGUCAAACUGGACAACAGUAGAGGCAAGUGCACAAUGUCAAGUAACAUGCUAAGUCCCCUACACAUCACAAUGCAGAUUUCCCCUUAUUUUAGGGUUUGUGUCACAAAUCGUGAGCUGGAUGGUGAUUUUUAUUAAGUGCUCAGACAUUAUUGCUGACUUCCUCUGAUUUCCUCUGACAGCUCUGUGACUAUAAGCUCCACUGGUCUCCUUAUUCAGACACAUACAUUUACCUGUCAUUGGGGCACAGCUUACCAGUAUUGCAAAUUUUGACUUAUUAAAGUUCAUGUUGCCACAGAAACACUUUUAUUUUCAAAAUUAUUUAUAAUUCCUUUGGGGCAGCUGAUUUUCUGUAUUUUUCAUCAUGUCUCCUAUUUCAUUUUUAAAUGAAUUUCAUGGCUAGGUGCAGUACCCUACUGCGCACAAUUAUUGCACCAAUAUAAAAUCUAACCAUUGCAAAAUCAUUUCCA